rnacentral:rRNA from 1 species
AUCUCAAAUCAAGUAAGACUACCCGCUGAACUUAAGCAUAUCAAUAAGCGGAGGAAAAGAAACUAACAAGGAUUCCCCUAGUAACGGCGAGUGAAGCGGGAUGAGCUCAAAUUUAAAAUCUGGCUGGUUUACUAGUCCGAAUUGUAGUUUAAAGAAGCGUUUUCGGUGGCAGCCUGGGUAUAAAUCCUUUGGAACAGGGUAUCAUAGAGGGUGAGAAUCCCGUCUUUGACUCAGUGCAUGCUACUAUGUGAUACGUUUUCAAAGAGUCGAGUUGUUUGGGAAUGCAGCUCAAAAUGGGUGGUAAAUUUCAUCUAAGGCUAAAUAUUGGCGAGAGACCGAUAGCGAACAAGUACCGUGAGGGAAAGAUGAAAAGAACUUUGAAAAGAGAGUUAAACAGUGCGUGAAAUUGUUGAAAGGGAAACGCUUGACACCAGUCAUGCGAGCGGAAAAUCAGUCUUUUGCAGUGGGGAGUUGUGUGGGUUCGGACCGCAAGGCCGGCCUGUGCUGCAUCUCUGCUGUAAGUGAUGCACUUUUUCGUUUGCAGGCCAACAUCAGUUUCUUCUGCUGGACAAAACUCUUGAGAAGGUAGCAGCUUUGGCUGUGUUAUAGCUCUUGAGCGAUACAGUGGAGGGGACUGAGGUUUUCGCAGCGCGUGCUCUCGGGCAAGGCUGAUUGGGUGCUAUGGGAUCGUUCGGUGUACAAUGCAUGCAUUUUGCGCCGUGUCUUUUCUAUACUCGCUCAACUCGGCUNUCCGCG